rnacentral:rRNA from 1 species
UGGGGAAUUUUGCACAAUGGGGGGAACCUUGAUGCAGCGACGCCGCGUGAGGGAUGGAGGCCUUCGGGUUGUAAACUUCUUUUGCUCUGAACAAGGCAUGCCUUUGGGGUGUGUUGAGUGUAGGGGUUGAUUAGCGCCGGCUAACUACGUGCCAGCAGCCGCGGUAAUACGUAGGGCGCGAGCGUUGUCCGGAAUUAUUGGGCGUAAAGGGCUUGUAGGUGGCUGGUUGCGUCUGUCGUGAAAGCUCAUGGCUUAACUGUGGGUUUGCGGUGGGUACGGGCUGGCUUGAGUGCAGUAGGGGAGGCUGGAAUUCCUGGUGUAGCGGUGGAAUGCGCAGAUAUCAGGAGGAAUACCGGUGGCGAAGGCGGGUCUCUGGGCUGUUACUGACGCUGAGGAGCGAAAGCGUGGGGAGCGAACAGG